rnacentral:lncRNA from 12 species
CGUGCCGUAGCUGCGCCACUGCACCAAGAAGGGCCCGGGAGAAUGCCUUCAUUUGCUAUCUUCCACCUUCCCUGCCAAAAAAGAGGGUAGAGAUUGCCUUUGGAAGAAGCAGCCACCCACAGGGCAGUUUGGCUUGGCUGGAGCUAAGAAAGACCCAGACACACCAUUGUGUGGAGUUGGGUGACAUCUUCCUUUUCUAGAAGCUGAAUAAAUAAGCUCAUGACUCUCACGGAACAAUUGGAUCGCGUAACAGGAGUCCAAGCACCCCUGCGGUGACACUUCUCUCCAGGAGUUCUGGGUGCCAGAGUGGAGGCCUCUCCCAGUGACUAGUGCGAGAGGAGAGGUGAAGCGAGGCAGCCAAGACUUGGGAGAGUGGCAAAAGCAGCCCUUGCAGGUGCCUCGGGCAGUCGGAGGAGGGUCAACACCACCACGUGGCUGCUGGCAUCAGGAGAGCCACAGCAGCCACUGGACCGCAGAGCAACAGGCAGUGGCACGGUCAUAACCUUGAUAGGAACCACCUGCCUUGGGUCAGGUCUAGAGACAUAACUGGAAGUGCUGAGUUCUUGCCACUGGGCAAGUAAGGGUUAUUGGUCCAGAAGCCUUUGGGACUGCUGUUGGAGUGGCCAGGCCCCAGUCGCUGGUAGAGUAUAAUAAGAUCAGGAGCUCACCCAGGAUACUCUGAGUCCUAAGGCAGUGCCUCGCCACACCACAAACUAUUGGGUGGCCAGAGAGUUA